GACGAACCGUCCAAACGUUGUUCGGAAUCACUGGGCUUAAAGGGCGCGUAGGCGGACCACCAAGUCCGGGGUGAAAUCUUUCGGCUUAACCGGAAAAGUGCCUCGGAUACUGGUGGUCUCGAGUGAGGUAGGGGCAUGUGGAACUUCUGGUGGAGCGGUGAAAUGCGUUGAUAUCAGAAGGAACUCCGGUGGCGAAAGCGACGUGCUGGACCUCUUCUGACGCUGAGGCGCGAAAGCUAGGGGAGCGAACGGG
rnacentral:rRNA from 1 species